AGAUCAUCGUCAUGAUUAUCAUGAUGAUGAUUAUGAUCAUGACGUAUCAUCAUCGUCAUCAUCAUCAUCAUCAUGAUUAUGAUCAUGA
rnacentral:pre_miRNA from 1 species